CCGCCAUGGACAAUUCCGGGAAGGAAGCGGAGGCGAUGGCGCUGUUGGCCGAGGCGGAGCGCAAAGUGAAGAACUCGCAGUCCUUCUUCUCUGGCCUCUUUGGCUGCUGGAAACGCGUUCUGCCAGGCUGCACAGCUGCACCUGCAGCUCCAGAGCAAGCACGACGCAGCCACCUGCUUUGUGGACGCUGGCAACGCAUUCAAGAAAGCCGACCCCCAAGAGGCCAUUAACUGUUUGAUGCGAGCAAUCGAGAUCUACACAGACAUGGGCCGAUUCACGAUUGCGGCCAAGCACCACAUCUCCAUUGCUGAGAUCUAUGAGACGGAGUUGGUGGACAUCGAGAAGGCCAUUGCCCACUACGAGCAGUCCGCAGACUACUACAAAGGCGAGGAGUCCAACAGGUAGCCCCCUUCCUGCCUGCCCCAGCCCCGCAGGGACCGCCACCACUUCCCCUCACUACUCCUCCCCACACAGCUCAGCCAACAAGUGUCUGCUGAAGGUGGCUGGUUACGCCGCGCUGCUGGAGCAGUAUCAGAAGGCCAUUGACAUCUACGAACAGGUGGGGACAGGUGGGGAUGGCGGCUUCCACCCUGCCCCCUCUCAGGGCCUGUGCCUCCUCCUAAGCCCCGGCACCUUGUUCUGG
rnacentral:sRNA from 1 species